UGAGAAGUCCGGCUUGCUCGAUUGAAGCCCGGACGUUCUCGGAUGCGAGUGCCCAGUGGGCCACUUUUGGUAAGCAGAACUGGCGCUGUGGGAUGAACCAAACGACGGGUUAAGGGGCCCGAUGCAGGACGCUCAUGAGAACCCAUGAAAGGUGUUGGUUGCUAUAGACAGCAGGACGGUGGCCAUGGAAGUCGGAACCCGCUAAGGAGUGUGUAACAACUCACCUGCCGAAGCAAGCAGCCCUGAAAAUGGAUGGCGCUUCAGCGUCGACCCCAUACCCGUCCGCCGCGCCGGAGAUGCGAUCGCAUUAUGGCGCGGCGAGUAGGAGGGCGCGGGGGCGAGCGUGGAAGGUGCCGGGCGCAAGCCCGCCUGGAGCCGCCCCUGGUGCAGAUCUUGGUGGUAGUAGCAAAUACUCAAGUGAGAACCUUGAGGACUGAGGUGGAGAAGGGUUCCAUGUGAACAGCAGUUGAACAUGGGUCAGUCGGUCCUAAGGGAUGUCCGAAAGGAUUUCCGAAGGGGGGACUUUGGUGGAGGGGUCCCCCCCAUGACCGAAAGGGAAUCGGGUUAAUAUUCCCGAACCCGGACACGGAGAUCGGUCCCUCCGGGGACACGUGCGGUAACGCAAACGACCUCGGAGACGUCGACGGGGGUCCCGGGAAGAGUUGUCUUUUCUUUGUAAGGGUUCGGCUCCCUGGAAUCGGCUCGCCCGGAGAUAGGGAUGCUGAACCCGUAAAGCACCGCGCCUCUUGUGGUGUCCGGAGCGCUCCCGUCGGCCCUUGAAAAUCCGAGCGAGAGAUGGUGAUUUUCGUGCCGGCCCGUACCCAUAUCCGCAGCAGUC
rnacentral:rRNA from 1 species